GUUGGGAUUACAGGUGUGAGCCACCAUGCUCAGCCAGCUUAGUUACUUUAAAGAUUAGGCAGCUGAGCCCAGAAACUAGCUGCUGGGAACAAAGCUAAGAUUUGAACUCAGAUCUCCUGGUUCUUAGUUUCAUACUGGCUGUGAAGGCCUCUGGGAAGAGUGUGUGAUAUUGUUGGUCUCCAGGUUUGAUUUGUCCUGGUCCCUCUCUAGCUAAUUAGGGUGAGAGCCGCCAUCCUUCCUUCCCUGAGCUGCAUGCUUGAUUCAAGAGAAAAAUCUUACUUUUGUCAUACGUGACACUGGCAUGUUUCUUUAGUGAUGAUAAAGGCGACAUGAUCAAUGGCAUGAAAUAAAGGUUUUGGAGUAUAUAAACCAUUUUUACAGCGGCUACAAAUUUUAGAAUGUGUGAUUGCUAUUAUGUAUGAUGGUAAUCUUUUCAUAUGAUUGUAUUGGGCAAGUAUGUCUGACUUCUAGGAUUUUUAUCUGUUUUGUUUGUCUCUUAUGGCAUAUGUGUACUUAGAAGUAAAUAUAUUUGGUACUGUAUAUAAUAUGUACAAUACAAUAAAAAAUAAUUUCAUUGUCCUUAUUUUGUUCUCACUGGACCCGUUGAGGUGGGAGAAUCGCUUGAACCUGGGAGGCGGAGGCUGCAGUGAGCUGAGAUUGCACCUCCAUUCUGGGCGACUUUGAGACCAUGUCUCGAAAA
rnacentral:sRNA from 1 species